GUCAUCCACAAACUCAAGGCCAAGGUGGACUGCAAGGGGAGCAAGACGGACCUCUCUCUGAAACAGGGGGACUUCAUCGAGAUCGUCCGCAUUUCUGACAACCCUGAAGGCCGCUGGCUCGGCAGGUCGAGGGAAGGCUCCUUUGGCUAUGUAAAGACCGAGUCAGUGGAGAUAGACUUUGAUGCUCUGAAGCGUCAGGGCGAGAUCCUUCCUGCUUCAGUGCAGGGGGAUCCAGAGGUGUAUGACGACAUAGGUGUCCAAGAUGAUGUCAUCAGGGUUACAGGUCCAGGAGUGAUCCUCCCGCCCCCUCCAGAUGAGGAUGGAGAAAUCUAUGACGAGCUGGACGACUUAGACCUGAGUGUGCGCCCCGCCACAACGGAACAGUGGUCGCCCCCCAAACCACGUGGCCUUCUUAAGAUGUUAAAGACCUGGGACGACCGGAGAAAAAA